ACAAACUUGGUCAUUUAGAGGAAGUAAAAGUCGUAACAAGGUCUCCGUAGGUGAACCUGCGGAGGGAUCAUUACCGAGCGAGGGCCCCCGGCCCGACCUCCCACCCUUUGUGAAUCGACCCCCGUGCCUCGGGGGUGCACCCGGCGCGUUCGUCGCACCGGGGCCCCCGCUGGACCCCCAACUCCGCGUCCAUGCGUCGGUUUGAUGAAGAAGAAUGAAUCAAAACUUUCAACAACGGAUCUCUUGGUUCUGGCAUCGAUGAAGAACGCAGC
rnacentral:misc_RNA from 1 species